rfam:Salmo salar isolate Sally breed double haploid chromosome ssa24, whole genome shotgun sequence.
UGCAUUAACUACUGUAAGUCGCUCUGGAUAAAAGCAUCUGCUAAAUUACUAAAA